AACAUGGUGAAACACCGUCUCCAAUAAAAAUACAAAAAUUAGCCUGGUAUGGUGGUGCGCGCCUGUAAUCCCAGCUACUUGGAGUCUGAGGCAGGAGAAUUGCUUGAAUCUGGGAGGCAGAGGUUGCAGUGAGCCGAGAUCGCACAAUUGUACUCUGCACUCCAGCCUGGGCGACAGAGUGAGACUCCGUCUCAAAAAAAAAAGUAGAAAAAUACCAAAGCAUUCUGUUCUUUUUAACAGGUCUGCCCUCAGGAGAAACUUACCAGAGUAUUAUCUGCUGGGGUUUUAUCAGAGCCUAACUGACCUGGGGGAAGGGAAAUACCCAACCCCAGCCCAGUCUAGCUGGAGUGUAUUAGUCUGUUUUCACGCUGCUGAUAAAGACAUACCCAAGACAGGGAAGAAAAAGAGGUUUAAUUGGACUUACAGUUCCACAUGGCUGGGGAAGCUAAUGGUGCACUUCUUAUAUGGCGGCAGCAAGAGAAAAUGAGGAAGAAGCAAAAGCGAAAACCCCUGAUAAACCCAUCAGAUUUCGUGAGACUUACUAUCACAAGAAUAACACGGGAAAUACAGGCCCCCAUGAUUUAAUUACCUUCCCCUGGGUCCCACCCACAACAUGUGGGAAUUCUGGGAGAUACAAUUCAAGUUGAGGUUUGGUGGGGACAGAGCCAAACCAUGUCACUGGAGUAAGCUCAUGAAUUAUCCUCAUGCCACCUAAGGGGGAGGAACAAAAUUGAGCAUCAUGAGUAAAGUUCACAGUCCAAAGGCACAGGCUCACUGAAAGACUGAGACCUCAUCCUAGGAUUAAAGGACGCUUUCUCUCAUGAGAACUCCCAUGCACUACCACCACAUUACUAAUGGCCUAUUUAUAGCAGUUCUUUUUAUCUAGUCGCUCAUGUCUGGCUAUUAAUAAAAAAUUACAAGGCAUACUGAAAGGCAAAAAACACAGUUUGAAGAGACAGAGCAAGCAUUAGAAACAGACUCAUACAUGGCAGGGAUGUUGGGAUUAUCAGACCAAGAAUUUAAAACAACUAUGAUUAAUAUGCUAAGAAUUCUAAUGGAUAAAGUAGACAGAUUGCAAACACAUGUGGGCAAUGUAAGAAGGGAGAUGGAAAUUCUGAGAAAGAAUCAAAAAAGAAAUGCUGGACAUUAAAAACUAACAGAAAUGAACAAUAACUCUGAUGCACUUGUUAGGAGAUUCAGCAGGUCUAAGGAAAGAAUUUCUGAGCUUAAGAAUUUCUCAAAGACAUUGCCAAAACUGGGCCAGGUACAGCAACUCACACCUGUAAUCCCAACACUUUGGGAGGCAGAGGCAUGUGGAUCACUUGAGCCCAGAAGUUCAAAAACAGCCAUGGGCGACAUAGGGAAAACCCAUCUCUACAAAAAGACUUAAAAAAAAAAAUUACCUGGCCAUGGUGGCAUGCACCUGUAGUCCCAGGAGGCUGAGGUGGGAGGACCACUUGAAUCUGGGAGGUUGAGGUGGCCAUAAGCUGAGAUUGCACCACUGCACUCCAGCCUGGGUGACAGAGUGUCUUAAAGAAAAGAAAAAAGUGGCCAGGCAUGGUGGUUCACAUCUAUAAUCCCAGCACUUUAGGAGGCUGAGGCAGGUGAAUCACUUGAGGUCAGGAGUUCCAGACCAGCCUGGCCAAUAUAGUGAAACCCUGUCUCUACUAAAAAUACAAAAAUUAGCCGGGCAUGGUGGUGUGCGCUUGUAGUCCUAACUACUCAGGAGGCUGAGGGAGGAGAAUUGCUUGAACCCAAGAGGUCGAGAUUGCACUGAGCUGAGAUCAUGCCACUGCACUCUAGCCUGGACAACAAAGUGAAACUCCACUCAAAAAAAAAAAAAAAAGAAGAAAAGAAAAGAAAUUGUCAUAAUUGAAAAGCAAAGAUAAAAAAGACUAAGGAAAAACCAGUGCAGAACACCCAAGAACUGUAUGACAACUAAAAAAGGUAUAACAGCAUGUAAUGGGAAAUCCAAUUUAUCUCAGAAACCAUACAAAUAAGAAGAGAAUGGAAUGAAAUAUUUAAGAUUUGAGAGAAAAAAACCCUAACGUAGAAUUCUGUACCCUGCAAAAUUAUUCUUCAAAAGUGAAGAAGAAACAAAGACUUUCUCAGAUAAAUGAAAAUUAAGGGAAUCUGUUGCUCUUGCAAAAAAUGUUUUUAAAAUUUCUUUAGAGAGAAGGAAAACAAUAUAAGUCAAAAACUCAGAUCUACAUAAAGGAAGAACGUCAAAGAAGGAAUAAGUGAAGGUAAAAUAAAACUUCAAAUUUAUAUUUCUAAUUGAUCUAACAGAUAGAUAUAUAC
rnacentral:lncRNA from 10 species